rnacentral:misc_RNA from 1 species
CCGAGUUUACAACUCCCAAACCCCUGUGAACUUAUACCUUUACUGUUGCUUCGGCGGGUUAUUGCCCCGGGGAAACAGGCGGCCGUCAGGUCCCUGCCCACCCGGAAACAGGCGCCCGCCGGGGGACUCAAACUCUUGUAUCUUUUUUAUAGCAUGUCUGAGUGGAAUCAUAAACAAAUGAAUCA